UACAGAGGGUGCGAGCGUUAAUCGGAAUUACUGGGCGUAAAGCGCGCGUAGGCGGCUUUGCAAGUCGGGUGUGAAAUCCCCAGGCUUAACCUGGGAACUGCAUUCGAGACUGCAUUGCUAGAGUAUGGGAGAGGGAAGUGGAAUUUCCCGGUGUAGCGGUGAAAUGCGUAGAUAUCGGAAGGAACAUCAGUGGCGAAAGCGACUUCCUGGACCAAUACUGACGCUCAUGUGCGAAAGCGUGGGGAGCAAACAGG
rnacentral:rRNA from 1 species